CCUACGGGGGGCAGCAGUGGGGAAUAUUGCACAAUGGGCGCAAGCCUGAUGCAGCCAUGCCGCGUGUAUGAAGAAGGCCUUCGGGUUGUAAAGUACUUUCAGCGGGGAGGAAGGUGUUGUGGUUAAUAACCGCAGCAAUUGACGUUACCCGCAGAAGAAGCACCGGCUAACUCCGUGCCAGCAGCCGCGGUAAUACGGAGGGUGCAAGCGUUAAUCGGAAUUACUGGGCGUAAAGCACACGCAGUCGGUCUGUCAAGUCGGAUGUGAAAUCCCCGGGCUCAACCUGGGAACUGCAUUCGAAACUGGCAGGCUAGAGUCUUGUAGAGGGGGGUAGAAUUCCAGGUGUAGCGGUGAAAUGCGUAGAGAUCUGGAGGAAUACCGGUGGCGAAGGCGGCUUACUGGUCUGCAACUGACGCUGAGGCGCGAAAGCGUGGGGAGCAAACAGGAUUAGAUACCCCCCGUAGUC
rnacentral:rRNA from 1 species